AAUUUUUUAUGGAGAGUUUGAUCCUGGCUCAGGAUGAACGCUGGCGGCGUGCCUAAUACAUGCAAGUCGAG
rnacentral:rRNA from 2 species